CAAUAGCGUAUAUUAAAGUUGUUGCAGUUAAAAAGCUCGUAGUUGGAUUUCUGGCAUGAUGCGCCUGGCCCGCCGUGAUUACGCGUGUGUGUGCUAGUGCGCGUCUGCCAUCCAUUGGCAGAAUAUGUCUACCCUUAAUUGGGCCGGAUAUGUGAUGUCAAUCUUUUACUUUGAAAAAUUAGAGUGUUUAAAGCAGGCAUUUGCUAUGAAUACAUUAGCAUGGAAUAAUAAUCUAGGACUUCGGUUCUAUUUUGUUGGUUUCUAGUACUGAAGUAAUGAUUGAUAGGGAUAGUUGGGGGUGGCUAGUAUUGGCCGGCCAGAGGUGAAAUUCUUGGAUUCGGUCAAGACUAACUUAUGCG
rnacentral:rRNA from 1 species